AUCGCUUCUCGGCCUUUUGGCUAAGAUCAAGUGUAGUAUCUGUUCUUAUCAGUUUAAUAUCUGAUACGUCCUCUAUCUGAGGACUAUAUAUUAAAUGGAUUUUUGAAACUGGGAGAUGGAAUAGGGGCUUAAAAAAAAAGAUGCCAAUUUGUAUCUAAACAGUUGGCAUUACUGUAGGAGUCAGCAGAUUUGGAGAGUUU